AGUCUGCUGAAUAUUCAUAAGCCCGAGGCCAGCGUGGGUUAUUUUGAUCAAAGCCAUGGCUCCCUACUGCCCCAAGACCUGCCUGCCUCCUGGGCUCUCCACAAAAUUCCGUCACUGGCUCGACCUUCUCUGGCGGACCUGAAGCUCCCUGCAAGCCUGCCUUUCGCUGUGCUGGACUCUCUGCCCUCCCCCACACCCAGGCCCUCUGCUUGGCUCAGACCUGCUCCUUCUGCCAGCCUGAGCUCAGGCUUCCUGUCACAUGCCUCUGUUAAAAUGCAGUCACCGGACUCCUGACAUCUCAGAGCUGGGAAGUCUUCAACGUCUCCCUGAACAGAUGGGGAAACUGAGGCCCA